GAGUAGAUUAGUGGCUAAUGUUUGUACAUUCAGGGAAGAGUUUUGAGUCAUGUUCUUCUGUCUUGUACCCCCACCCCCCAACAGGCCUCAGUUAAUCUGUUGAAGGUCAAGGCAGAGGGAGGAACAGUGUGCUGGCUUGCUCCCCUGUGACUUUGGCUCCUUCUGCUGCACAGCAAGAUCUGAAUGCUUCUCUGUAAUUCCUCCACCCCUCUCCUGCAGGGCCCAAUAGCUCUCUCCCUGGCCUGUAAAUCAGUUCAUCAGGGCCUUCUCUAGGAUCCAAGAAAAAGACACACCCCAUGGUGUUGCUUACUGUCUUUCCCUCCAACCAGGUAUUCCAAGAAUUCCACCCAAGGAGAUCAGGGAUGAGGUUUGCCUUUCUCAGUCCCUAGGGACCAACCCUUAAGAAAACAGACAGUGUUAUUUGAUAUUGGUGCUGAUAUAGCACAUUCAGAACUGGCAUUCCGAGCCCUGAUAAACAUUCCAAAAGAAACAAUGCCUAGCUCGGCUCUACUGGCAGGGAAACUGAAGCCCCCAAAGGAGCUGUACUGGUGAGAGUGUCUGCCUCCAUCUCACAGCUUUAAAUCUGAUUGUUAAACAUUUACCAGCAUACCUGACCUGUGUGCCACACAACCAUCAUAUUCUUUAUUUGAGUCUAUUCUCUCAUGGACACCGUAUGUACUUGUGGAAGAGUAAGCCCCAGGGCAGGAAGAGAACACUAUCUAUCUGGAACCAUUCUUCCAGGACUCACAGUUAGGUUUCAGACAUUUUCACUGAUCCUAAGGGGAAAGUCCAAACGUAGGCAUUACACUGGCAUGCACAAGGUGCUUAAUAAAUGUUUAAUGAUUGAUUGAUUCAUCCUGGACAAAUCACUUGAAUUUUCAU